rnacentral:rRNA from 1 species
AAAACAACUCUCAGCAACGGAUAUCUUGGCUCUUGCAACGAUGAAGAACGCAGCGAAAUGCGAUACGUAGUGUGAAUUGCAGAAUUCCGCGAAUCAUCGAGUCUUUGAACGCAAGUUGCGCCCGAGGCUUGUCCGAGAGCAUUUCCGCUAGAGCGUCACCG